GACGAACCGUGCGAACGUUAUUCGGAAUCAUUGGGCUUAAAGGGCGCGUAGGCGGCGGCGUAAGUUGGAAGUGAAAUCCCAUCGGCUCAACCGUGGAAUUGCUCCCAGUACUGCGUCGCUCGAGGGGGAUAGGGGUCUGCGGAACUACCGGUGGAGCGGUGAAAUGUGUUGAUAUCGGUGGGAACGCCAGUGGCGAAAGCGGCAGACUUGACCCUUCCUGACGCUGAGGCGCGAAAGCUAGGGGAGCAAACCGG
rnacentral:rRNA from 1 species